UAUCGCUGCCCUCCUUGGGCGUUUCCUCCCUAGACUUGGGCCGCUUGUUUUCACAAGCGGCCCUUUUUCUUUGUAGC
rnacentral:sRNA from 1 species